AGAGGUGGUUAGGCACAUGACGUUUGGUAAACUUGCAGCCACAGGGAGAGAAACAUCGAAAAAGAGAGAAAGAAGGGAGCAGAAGAAAAUCAAAGGAAAUCUUCCUGCAUAUGGGGAGAUCAGCCAGUCAUUUGAGUAGGGUAUGAGAAGAGAAGAAGUUUGAGAGACAACCAGAGUAACUCAAUUUUAAGUCUGAAUUUGAGCGGCAGCUGGACAUCCAGAAUAAUACAGCAGAGCAACAGCGAUGGGAACCUGAACAGAAGAUGGAAGGUCAGCAAUAUGUGAUGAAAUGCCAGCUACAUAUAAGGUGCCUCACGAUUUUAAGACCAACAGUCUGAUACAAAUUUCACCAGCUAACUUCCACAGUGAGCAAUUACUCAACAAAGAGCAGAUGAGAUAACAAUAAUCACAGAAUGGCAGAACAGUCGACUUUGGAAGAGACCUCUGAGGAUCGCCUAGUCCAACGCCCCUACUCAAAGCAGGGUCAACCACAGCAGGUUGCUCAGGGCCACAUCCAGUUGGGUUUUGAAUAUCUCCA